CGGCCAUACCACCCUGAGAACGCCCGAUCUCGUCUGAUCUCGGAAGUUAAGCAGGGUCGGGCCUGGUUAGUACUUGGAUGGGAGACCGCCUGGGAAUACCAGGUGCUGUAAGCU
rnacentral:rRNA from 1 species